CUUUAACUGGCUGUAUAAAAGUUCCUCAGUAUAACGCACUAAUACACUAUUACAAGCAGGUUAUUGGUAUUAGGGCCUAUUAGCGCAUACCAGUCAAUCGUAUCGUGCUUGGAAUUGGAAAGAUUAGAACCAAAAAGCACAAAGUACUUCAAACAGCAAAAAGGUCGGUAUAUUAUUUAAUUUGUCUGGGGCCGGUUGUAUCAAGCCCGUUUAGCUUAAACGGUGGUUAAGCUCAAAAUAGAAAGGAAGUCUAUAGAUUCAUUCAACAACCAAACUAAAAGUUUUGAACAUUAAUAGAACAAUAAUGUUUACAACUACAUUUUCAGUGCACAAUAUUUAAGUUAACUGAUUCACUAGAGAUAUAAGAGUGUUAUUUAAUUUUGACUUAUCCACCGUUUAAGCUAAACGGGCUUGAUACAACCGACCCCUGGUCUCUAUCUUAAAACAUAUAAUGCGAUAACGCAGUUGAAGACAAUUAAGGGUAGUGUUAGGUCACAGAAUUUUAACGGGCACAAACAGUUCAGUAUAAUUUGUGCCAGUGUACUAGGUAGUGCCAACAAUAACAAGCUUUCGUUGGUAGGGAUGUGUAACUACCUGAAAAAUAUGAGGAGAAUUUCGACGUUUUGAGCGGGAAGUUAGUACGGUCUUCGCUCGAAACGUCGAAAUUCUCCUCAUAUUUUUCAGGUAGUUGCAUCCCUGCCAACGAAACCUUGUUACAUAUUGUACUGUAGUACAUUGUCAUACUAUACGCGCUCGCUUCUUGCCGUACUGCCGAGUAUAUUGCGUAUUUAAAUUUAAUAUAAAUGCGAAACGAUCACACAACUACAGUCCUGCCUUGAGUCAUGCCAGAGCCCCAGAGGCACACGAGUGAACACAAAAACUAUUCGUGAGAGAACAUGACCCAAGCAGCUACGGCCAUCGGCAGCCUUUAAUUUUGCGCCCGAUCAUGUUCUGCACAUUGGAUACACCUUUGUUUAUUGCGUUUCUCACUCGUCGGUGAGCGGAUUUUCCCAACGGACUAUAUAUUACCCAAGGUGUAGCUACGAUUUUAACGUCCUUAUCCGAGAAGACUCGAAAGAUAGAGGUUCGAGCAAGGAUUGACCCUGGGUCUCCCAGUUUGAAAGGAAAGCGUAGUGAAUGGUUUGGUAUAAGAACUGUAUUCUAAUCGCGUACCCAUGCACCGAAAGCUUUUAAACCAUGUAGAUUUUACUAAUGAAACAACUAUGUAUAUGAACAAUUAGUUACGUAUAUUUUGGAAUACCCUCGAAUGCACUUCUAUUUCCUCUUUCAAACACAAUCUUUAUACUAAGAAACUAUUAUUAUUGACUAUUAUUACUAUCAUUACUAUUAUUGUGUUUGUGGUGUUACUUUUGUUUUUGGUUGGUCUUAAUAUGUGAUUCCCGUUCUUGUUCACCAUGCCGUUUCCGUGAAGCGAAAAUAUUGUUUUGAAAUUGAGGAUAUUGUUUGGUAUCUAUCCCUUUCACUUCAAUGUUCGGUAUUUGCUUCUGCGGCCAGUGUUUCAUUUCUAACUAAAAGUAAAGAUUACGGCGACGUUUGAUUGCGAUCGAAAAUCGAAAACGGAUAAUAGCGAGCUUAAUUAAGCAAGCGAUUGCUGAGGGGGGAUUUGUAUCAGUUUGUGGUAAGCGCUAUGAUGCAAAAUGCCGCCAAAAUUACAACCUCGUCCCCAGGGCAUUUUGCCUCCACUAGGCACUACUGAAGGUCGUCCAAUGUUGAUAAAACAACCGUGUUUAAACUCACUAUUAAAUAUCACAUCAGGCACGCAUUAAUUGUUACGGGGGAGGGAUUUCAAGCUCUAUAGAUUAUAACAAAAUAAAGGUUUGAGGAGUGUUCCAUGCAACUAUGUUUCAUUAUAUAAUAAUAAUAAUAAUCAUGUCUAUAUUUUAGCUGGUAAAAAACCCGAUCAGCUAAUAGUAUAUUAGCUGGUAUACACCGGGGACCAGUACAAUAUAUAAUAUAUAAUAUAUAAGAUAUGUACAGUUAUAUAUAUACCUUAUAGUUACCUAAUUCUUACAAUUAAAUCUAAAAAAAUCUAAAAAAAGCUAAACCACAUGCUGUAAUAAUAAACACUAGACGCUACAACGAUGCUCCCGAGCAUCUGCGUCUAAAAGAUACUUGAAAACAUUGCUCUUAAACAAUCGGACAAUGAAUUCAUUUCCCGCAGUACAUGAUAGUGUUUGGAAAGCAUUAACAACAGCUAACCAAGGUUGUGCACUCUCAUCUUUGUUAAUUUUGUCCUAUCACAGCAAAGCUGGUUUUCCCGCACAAGGCGAAUAGACAACUUGCAUGUUAGACUAAUUUUUGAUUUAGGCAAUACGUGCGCUGUAAUUGUUACCGCACGUAAUACAAAUAUACUGAAAGUAUGCAAACUUCGCAAGGCUGUAUUUUCUGUAUUUUACAACAUUUCGCAACCAAAUUUUGAAAUUUUACUGAUUUUAUUAUGUUCUUUUUAACCGUUGUGUUUGAUUCCCUUCUCUUUACUUAGAUUAAAAUUUAGUCUAACAUGCAAGUUGUCCAUUGCGAAGUGAAUUUUCCUUGGCGGUAUCGCUCAUUUGCUGAUGUGAUAAGCGAUGCCGACAAAGGAAAAAGUAAGCUUCGCGCGAACAAAUUCGCCUUGUGGAAAACAGGCCUCGUUUGAACAGGGCCGAAGGCGAUAUCGGUCACUUGUAUUUUGCCUACCCAAGCCCUCAUGUUUUUCCUCGUAAUGAAGAGAUAUGAAGCGGUUUUCCGUGUUUUGACAAUUCAAAUGCGAGGGAUGCACGGCAAGAGAUGACUGGAAUCUGGGUGUUGCGAACUGGGAUGAUAUACUACUGAGUGGUACUGAAGGCAAGUACUACAAGUGCACUCUCCACUUUUUUUUCAAAAUGGAAUGAAAGUGCCCUCCUUAUUCUUUAGAUCUGGAUUAAAAGCGCUUAUUUCGAAUGAUCGUCUCACUGAUCUAUAGCAAACCGGAAUUUUAAG
rnacentral:lncRNA from 1 species